GACGAACGCUGGCGGCGUGCCUAACACAUGCAAGUCGAACGAAACUUCUUUAAAGGAUUUCUUCGGAAUGAAUUUGAUUAAGUUUAGUGGCGGACGGGUGAGUAACGCGUGAGUAACCUGCCUCUAAGAGGGGAAUAACAUUCUGAAAAGAAUGCUAAUACCGCAUAACAUAUAUUUAUCGCAUGGUAGAUAUAUCAAAGAUUUAUCGCUUAGAGAUGGACUCGCGUCCGAUUAGUUAGUUGGUGAGGUAACGGCUCACCAAGACCGCGAUCGGUAGCCGGACUGAGAGGUUGAACGGCCACAUUGGGACUGAGACACGGCCCAGACUCCUACGGGAGGCAGCAGUGGGGGAUAUUGCGCAAUGGGGGAAACCCUGACGCAGCAACGCCGCGUGAAGGAUGAAGGUCUUCGGAUUGUAAACUUCUUUUAUUAAGGACGAAGAAAGUGACGGUACUUAAUGAAUAAGCUCCGGCUAA
rnacentral:rRNA from 1 species